rnacentral:misc_RNA from 1 species
AACCUUAUGGACCUGCGGGCGUAUACCUGCGGAAGGAUCAUUACAAGUGACCCCGGUCUAACCACCGGGAUGUUCAUAACCCUUUGUUGUCCGACUCUGUUGCCUCCGGGGCGACCCUGCCUUCGGGCGGGGGCUCCGGGUGGACACUUCAAACUCUUGCGUAACUUUGCAGUCUGAGUAAACUUAAUUAAUAAAUUAAAACUUUCAACAAUGGAUCU